GAUCUAUGUAUAUAUUGUAAUGGGGGCUGGUUGGUUAUCUAAUUCUAAGUAUGCGUUAUUAGGUUCUGUUCGUGCGGUUGCUCAGAGUAUCUCUUGUGAAGUUAGCAUGUCAUUAAUUUUAAUAAGUUGUUUAUUAUUAGUGGGUAGAGUUAAUUUAGUAAGGUUGUUACAAUAUCAAUGUGUAAGUUGGAUUCUUUUUUUUUCUGUUAAUUU